AUGAUCGUUGUGAAACGGCUGUCGCUGGUGUCUAAGUGUUGCUGAUACGGUUGUGAACGUCCGUGGCUGUAUAUGUGGUGACAUGUUAGGACUCUAAUGAGUUUAAGACCUAAUGAGCCUCUUAAGUGAGGCCGCCAGCAACCUUUUUUUUCUCUACAUUUUAAAAAAAAAACUAAAAUUCUACCCUUAUCGGUGGAUCACUAGGCUCGUGGAUCGAUGAAGAACGCAGCAAACUGCGAUAAUUAUUGCGAACUGCAGAA
rnacentral:rRNA from 1 species